rnacentral:tRNA from 1 species
CGGGGUGGAGCAGUGGUAGCUCGUUGGGCUCAUAACCCAAAGGUCGUUGGUUCGAAUCCAGCCCCCGGUA